UACGGGGGGGGCAAGCGUUGUUCGGAAUUACUGGGCGUAAAGGGCUCGUAGGCGGCCAACUAAGUCGGACGUGAAAUCCCUCGGCUUAACCGGGGAACUGCGUCCGAUACUGGAUGGCUUGAGUUUGGGAGAGGGAUGCGGAAUUCCGAGUGUAGAGGUGAAAUUCGUAGAUAUUCGGAAGAACACCAGUGGCGAAGGCGACUUACUGGACACAUAUUGACGCUGAGGUGCGAAAGCGUGGGGAGCAAACAGG
rnacentral:rRNA from 1 species